rnacentral:tRNA from 1 species
AGUCUUGUAGUGAAUAAUACAUAGGAUUGCAAAUCCUAAGGUGAGGAAUAUUUCCUCUAGGGCUU